rnacentral:lncRNA from 1 species
CCAUGAUCUGAUUGUGAGCUAUUCUACCACUUGGUGAUUAGUCAACUCUUGGGCUAGAGUAAUUGUAGGAUGUAAAUACAAUUAGCUUGAUUGUAGAUUCUGUUUACUCUAAAUAGCUUAUAGCUUCUAUAUAAAUCGAUCUCCAUGUAUCAAUAUUCAUAUCAAUGAAAUAUACAGCUCUCCAAGGGAUUGGCACUUUCGGGCAAAGAUUUCUCUGGAGAAGGU